GGCUUCCUGGUAUUAUCUCAGACUCUGUUCUUACACUGACUGUUUAGAAAUUGGAGGCAAAGUAUACCUAUGCUAUGUUCACCUCAGCCAUGAUUGUUCUGCAUUGUGAAUUGGUGACAAAAAA
rnacentral:snoRNA from 1 species